rnacentral:lncRNA from 1 species
ACUAGUCCCAAGGUGCACCGCUUCCUCCAGCUUGACUACAGACCUACGCGCAGGCGCCUUGCUAGAUUUCUGCCUAGUAGCGCCCUGCGUUCUGGGACUUGUAGUCCUAUUCUGUAAAGGCCACGCAGGUUCCAGGCGUUCUGUGUUCCGCAAGACCUUUGGCCAACCCUACCUCGUCGGUGGGCUGCCCAGUCCUUGAGACUCGUGAGUGCUUUGCCAUUCUCUUCCUGAAGAUUUUUUUUUUUUCCUGAGAGCUGACAGAAUGAGACUUGCCCCCAGGUUCAUCACCAUCAAGGCGAGAACAUGGCAGCAUCCAGGUGGGCAUGGUGCAAGAGGAGCUGAAAGUUCUACAUCUUCAUUUGAAGGCUGCUAGCAGAAUACUGGCUUCCAGGAAGCUAGGAUGAGAAAGCCCACACUCACAGUGACACAUCUCCUCCAACAAGGUCACGCCUACUCCAACAGAGCCACAGCCAGCUCCCUGGGCCAAGCAUAGCCAAACCAUAACAUGAGCUUUGCACAGCAGUACCACUAAAGACUGGUGGAUUCUAUGGAGCAUCUGUACAAGAAAUUGAUAAGAAAAUGUUACCUUCAGCCAAACCAUAACAUGAGCUUUGCACAGCAGUACCACUAAAGACUGGUGGAUUCUAUGGAGCAUCUGUACAAGAAAUUGAUAAGAAAAUGUUACCUUCAGAGCUUUCCUAUCCCUUCUGCAGGGGGCUUACAGCUAAUUUGAGGGGAUAGGGUUCCCAGGAUUCUGUGUGUCAUUUGCCACUUGCGAUCAUUUCCCAUGUAUAUGGCAUGCCUGUUCAUAGACUUGUUAUACCUUGUGCCUACUCCUGACUGGUGAACUUUGAAUAGAAUGUGAAUAAGAUAUCUAUCCAUCUGAGUCCUAGCUAUAACACUGAAAUUGUAUCUUUCUCGAAGUUGCUCAAAGAUUCAGUGUUAGGUUGUAUUUUUCCCAAUGUAAAGUACAGAAGGAGUGAGCAGAGGAUUCAGAUAUGGAUCUGAUUGGUUUGAAAGUAUCGAAUAACUGUUGCACACAGUUUACGCUGGCUAGUUUUCUAUGAAUUUGACACAAGGUAGAGGC